rnacentral:rRNA from 1 species
GAUGAACGCUGGCGGCGUGCCUAAUACAUGCAAGUCGAGCGGUAGGGCCCUUCGGGGUACACGAGCGGCGGACGGCUGAGUAACACGUAGGAACCUACCCCAAACUGAGGGAUAAGCACCAGAAAUGGUGUCUAAUACCGCAUGUGCUCUACGGAGUAAAGCUUCGGCGGUUUGGGAAGGGCCUGCGUCCGAUUAGCUAGUUGGUGGUAUAAAAGACUACCAAGGCGACGAUCGGUAGCUGGUCUGAGAGGAUGAUCAGCCAGACUGGGACUGAGACACGGCCCAGACUCCUACGGGAGGCAGCAGUAGGGAAUUUUCCACAAUGGGCGAAAGCCUGAUGGAGCAACGCCGCGUGCAGGAUGAAUGCCUUCGGGUUGUAAACUGCUUUUAUCUGUGACGAAUAUGACGGUAGCAGAUGAAUAAGGACCUGCUAACUACGUGCCAGCCGCCGCCGUAA